rnacentral:rRNA from 1 species
CAAGGAUGGUGGGUCGCGAUGCGCGGCUGAUAGUCGUCGGGUGGUAGAGGUAACACUCUCACGCGCCACAUGCCUGAAUCCUUUUUUUACGAGCACCUUUCGUUCUCCUUCGGCGGGGUAACCAUGCUCGCUGAUAGACAAAACUCUUUUUUUAUGCUCGUAGAUAGUGCUUCUGAUACAAACAAUCGUUACAACUUUCAACAAUGGAUCUCUUGGCUCUGGCAUCGAUGAAGAACGCAGCGAAAUGCGAUAAGUAGUGUGAAUUGCAGAAUUCAGUGAAUCAUCGAAUCUUUGAACGCACAUUGCGCCCCUUGGAUGCUCGUAGAUAGUCGUCGCUGAUAGUGCAUCUACACCCUCAAGCUCUGCUUGGUGUUGGGCGUCUGUCCCGCCUCCGCGCGUGGACUCGCCCCAAAUGCAUUGAUGCUCGCUGAUAGUAGUCCGUGCGCAGCACAUUGCGCUUCUCGAGGUGCGCGGGCCGCGUCCACGAAGCAACAUUACCGUCUUUGACCUCGGAUCAGAUGCUCGUAAUGGGCGUCGUAGAUGGUAUCAAUAAGGCGGAGGAAUGAGGCUCCGUCUCGCUGUAGAAGCGCUGUAGAUCGUCG